rnacentral:rRNA from 1 species
ACAACUAUGAUUGGGAAAAUAAGGGAGAAAAACAAAAAUAUAAAUAACCUUUGGUAAUCACUACAGAAAAAACAAAGUAAAAAAAGACUGAUGGGUCCCACAUGAGUACUUUGUGGUGCAACUAACAGCAAUAAAGAAAACACACCUGAAGAGUACAGAGGCGCAAAGAUAAAACUCAAAUAAAUUUACGAGGGCCCCCACAAGCGUGGAAGCAUGUGGUUUAAUAUGAUGAAACGCGAAGAACCUUUACCUCCCUUUACAUCCAGAGGACUUUCCAGAGAUGGAUUGGUGCCUUCGGGAACUCUGAGACAGGUGCUGCAUGGCUGUCGUCAGCUCGUGUUGUGAAAUGUUGGGUUAAGUCCCGUAACGAGCGCAACCCCUAUCCUUAUUUGCCAGCGAGUCAUGUCGGGAACUCUAAGGAGACUGCCGGUGACAAACCGGAGGAAGGUGGGGACGACGUCAAGUCAUCAUGGCCCUUACGGGUAGGGCUACACACGUGCUACAAUGGCAAGUACAAAGGGUUGCAAUACGGCGGCGUGGAGCCAAUCCCAUAAAGCUUGCCUCAGUCCGGAUUGGAGUCUGCAACUCGACUCCAUGAAGUCGGAAUCGCUAGUAAUCGUGGAUCAGAAUGCCACGGUGAAUACGUUCCCGGGCCUUGUACACACCGCCCGUCACACCAUGGGAGUGGACUGCACCAGAAGUGGUUAGCC